rnacentral:lncRNA from 1 species
GCACAGAGACAGACCGGCUGAAUGACUCCAUACAACUGAUACAUAACCUUUCAGUGUUCUCCUGUCUGCCAACCUCAGAAUUUCACAUAGGAAAGGUGAAAAAAGGACUCCUGCACGCUUGCACAGCCUGAGCUUUCUGAGCACAUCUACUGAAAACCCACCCCUGGGAAGCACAGACUGAGCUGCUGUCACCUCCCGAGAAGCACGAGGCCAUCCCUGGGCGAGCAGCGAGCGAGGAGAUGCAUCCAAAUCAGAGGCAGCGUGUGAGGGUGAGAGCUGCUGUUAAUCUCUGCCUAUUUCCAGAGCGCCCACAUCCCCACCGCACAGCCGGAGGAGCGCUGCCUCCCACCGCUGUCAUUCCCCUCCGGACCCUCAGCGCAGUGUUCCCGUCGGGGCGGCGGCGGCAGCAGCGCGAACCCGGGCGGGGCCGGCCGGCCCACACAGGUGUACCGCUGUGGAGGCCGCUGUGCGUUGCCCUGCAGCUAACUGAAAAACAUGGCUUCAAUGUGAGAAGUAACUGAAGCACACAUUGGCAGUGGGUGGCAGAAGGGCCCAAGGUUUCAAAAGCAAACUGCAUGGGACCGCUGAAGAAACAGUCCAUUGAAAACCCACCUCAUGUAAGUUUUAGGCAAAGGUGGUCUCCAGCCCUUUCAAGCAGAAUUUCAAGUUGCUGAGCUCAUCCUCCAGCACCACUUGGUACUACUCAGGGUAGCACUUCCAUUGCCAGGAUCCAGCUCAGUAGAACAGUCCAUCUUUGCUCUCAUCAUUUGGCCCAAGCACACCUCAGCACCCAGCAAGUUCCCUCAUUCCUACUGAAGAGAUGGGAAUCCAGUGUUCAUCCUGAGUACCCUGCUACACCUUCUGCUUCCGUUUCCAUUUGCAAGAAGUGUUUGCUGCUUCUGUGGAAUUUAUUAAAGAUUUCUUUAAUAAAACUACUGUUG